AUAACAAUAUAGUUGAUACCCUAAAUAUAUGUGACUAGAUAUAUGUAUACAUCUGAGGACUAUGUUUGUAUGAGACUUGUCUAAGUGUAAUAAAGAAGUUUAUAAAAUGAAAGUUUAUGUAGGUUUACCAGCAAGAUAACCAAUAAAUGUUCUUUUUAUACAUUGUAUCUGACAGAAGGGCCACACUGCCAUUUGAAGACCUGUCUUAUAUCUGUUUGCUUUGACUAAGUGGAUUUCUGAUCAUUA
rnacentral:lncRNA from 1 species